AUCUGUCAAACUCUCAACCCUCAGCAUCUUCCCACUGUGCUAGUUCCUUCUGCCUGGCUUGCUCUCUUCUCUGCUUGGAAAACUCUUAUAAAUCCUUCAAGCCUUACUCAUUCGCUGCCUCUGACCCGAUAACGAAUUUCUCCCUCUCUCAUCCGGGCCCAGGAGCCUCUGUCUGGCUCUCACCAGUAUAGCAACGGGGAGUUUCCUGUCAGUCUCCCCGGCUGCUGUGAGCUCCUUAAGGCAGAAGGCCUGGCACACAGUAGGUGCAGAGUUCGUAGUUGCUGAAGGAUCGAAUGUGAGCAGGAUGCAUUUCCCCAAGGCUAGAGCUGUCAAAUCAAGGGGAAACCCACCAGGCAUACCACCGGCAGAGCUGGAUCAGCCAUGUGAAAAGAGGAAAAGUGAGCAUGGCAGCCAGGACCUGUGCCUUUCUCAAGGUCUGCGUGUGAUGUUCCCAGCAAAGGCCACAGAGGUUGCCCUGCGACCUGUGUCCUGCAGGGUCACCUCUGCUGGGCAGCAGUCAUGUCUUCAGACAACUGGAGAGUAUGUUGGGGGAAGGUCAUCUUGCAGUGCCCAUGGUGAAGUGACAGACCCACUGCCUGCAGAAGGCACCCUUUGAAAGAAAAACCAGCUUCCAGGGAUGCUCACAGCCUCCUCGUUAGUCAUUCUGCCUGAGGCAAGUGGGGAGGCCUCACAAGGAAUUCUAAGUUUUUUCUUGGACCCAGUUGGACCCCAUCAUUGGCUGCUCACCGGAGACUAGGGAGUUCCUUUUCACUCGGUUACCUUCAUGAAGUUGCAUUUCAACAUUAGGCCCUUAACUUGAUAAAGAUCACUAAAGAAAAAUCACGUGAAAUUUACUACUUCAUUUGCUGCUUUAGAAAACCCGAAAUAUUGUUGAAGACCUCAUUCCUUCCGUUGCUCAGUCUCUGUUCUGUGUAAUAAAAUCAUUCCCAUGAAAUUUCCUUCAGAAUUCAGUGCCGGGAAAGGCUUCCACUCCUGGAGGCACACAUACGCUCCCUCUUCUCCAGUUAUGAGAACCCUAUAACUGGUCAUUGUUCCCACUUUUUGGACUGCUAAGAAAUGCAAAGCCAAGUUUGAGGAUCAAUGACAGCAAUUUUGGUAACUCUUGGGGGAAAUAUAUUCAUGUCU
rnacentral:lncRNA from 1 species